rnacentral:lncRNA from 1 species
UCUGUGAUACAUCACUGACAUAUCACCUCAGACUUUGAAGUACUCUCUGCCCAUUUUUUGAGCACACCCUGGCAACUAGCUAUGCUACCACAUACUGUAUUGUCACAUGGAAUGCUAUUGGUCGGAAAGAGUUACCAGCAAGUUGGCACGUUGCCUCUCAGAGACUCCCAAAGCUGGUCACAGAUUCUGCUUCUUUUAUUUCUCCAAACCAAUAUGGUAUUCCAUGCUCCCUAAACUUUUGACUUGUCCUAAGGCAAAAUUUUUUAGACCCAAGCUGACAUUUUUCUUCUCUUACCUUGCAGUCAAGAGGAAAACUUUCUCUCUUUCCUUUUUAGAAGUUAUAUAUGGGCAUUCAUCUCACAGAACCUUGCACAGGAAACCAUGUUCUAACAAGCCUGCUGACAACACACAAAAAAUGUUGAUAUAUUUUUGGCUGCUUCUUGCUGUCCUCACCAAAGCCUUCAAGGAAGACAAAGUUGAGCCUUGAAGAAGUGUCUCUGAGGAAGCGGCCUUGCCAGUAGAUAGAAUGUGGCUUCAAGCUAUCAUGUGGCAGUUCCUGUUAAGAACCCCAGCACUGGGUGUUAUACGUAAGUGAUAAAUCACUAAAUUCUACACCUGAAACCAAUUUUACCAUAUAUGUUAAGUAAGUAGACUUUAAAUAAAAAUUCAAAUAAAAAAGAAACCCCA